CCUACGGGAGGCAGCAGUGGGGAAUAUUGGGCAAUGGAGGAAACUCUGACCCAGCGACGCCGCGUGCGGGAUGAAGGCCUUCGGGUUGUAAACCGCUUUCAGUAGGGAAGAAGCGAAAGUGACGGUACCUACAAAAGAAGCACCGGCUAACUAUGUGCCAGCAGCCGCGGUAAUACAUAGGGUGCAAGCGUUGUCCGGAAUUAUUGGGCGUAAAGAGCUCGUAGGUCGUUUGUUACGUCGGAUGUGAAAACCUGAGGCUCAACCUCAGGCCUGCAUUCGAUACGGGCAAACUAGAGUUUGGUAGGGGAGACUGGAAUUCCUGGUGUAGCGGUGGAAUGCGCAGAUAUCAGGAGGAACACCAAUGGCGAAGGCAGGUCUCUGGGCCAAUACUGACACUGAGGAGCGAAAGUCUGGGGAGCGAACAGGAUUAGAUACCCUGGUAGUCCAGACCGUAAACGGUGGGCACUAGUUGUGGGAACCUUCCACGGUUUCUGCGACGCAGCUAACGCAUUAAGUGCCCCGCCUGGGGAGUACGAUCGCAAGAUUAAACUUAAUGAAUUGACGG
rnacentral:rRNA from 1 species